rnacentral:lncRNA from 1 species
CUCUUCACUGCCCUGUGUCUUCUUUCCAAGGGUCUCGGUGAUUCGGCCACAGCCUCAGCCUCCAUCACGCGGUGAACUGAUGGUGCUGGAAGAUUCAUAGACUCCAGGACAUUCCUGAAGCCGAGAAAAGGUUAAGUAGGGUCUGGCCUGGAAUACUCUCCUAGAUGAAGAUAGCCCAACCAUGAGCCACCUUCGAAGCAGAUGAGAUGAAAUUAAAGCUCUUCAACUCCUAAAGGCCCAGAGACUAUCACAAAAGAGGUCAGAAAUCCUGAAGGUCACUUUCUGACAAACUCAGGAACCCCAGGUUUAUCUUGGAGCCUCAAGAGGAGAUAAAUUCACCCAACUCAGGCUGGAGUGCAGUGGAAUGAUCUUGGCUCACUUCCGUCUCCGCCUUCCAGUUUCAAGUGAUUCUCCUGCCUCAGCCUACUGAGUAGUUGGGAUUACAGGUGCCUGCCACCACACCCAGCUAAUUUUUGUAUUUUUAGUAAAGAUGGGGUUUCACCAUGUUGGCCAGGCUGGUCUCAAACUCCUGACGUCAUGAUCUGCCCGCUUCAGUCUCCCAAAGUGUGAUUACAGAGUUUUGCUCUUGGUGCCCAGGCUGGAGUGCAUUGGCACGAUCUCUGGCUCACUGUGACCUCUGCCUCCCAGAUUCAAGUGAUUCUCCUGCCUCAGCCUCCUGAGUAGCUGGGAUUACGGGCAUGUGCCCCCAUGCCUGGCUAAUUUUGAAUUUUUAGUAGAAACAGGGUUUCUCCAUGUUGGUCAGGCUGGUCUUGAACUGCCAACCUCAGGUGAUCUGCCCACUUUGGCCUCCCAAAGUGCUGGGAUUACAGGCAUGAGCCACCGAGCCUGGCCUGAUUGUACUUUUAUAUAAUAAAAUGCAGUACAUUUAUAAAUUUUAGAUUAUGUGUGAAGUUAAUAGUUUAAUUCAACAUUUUUAACAUGUUAAAUACUAUUGUGCAUUCAAUGA